GCCAGGUGUGGUGGUGCACAUCUAGAGUCCCAGUUACUUGGGAGGCUGAGACAGGAGGAUCACUUGAGCCUAGGAGUUCAAGGCUUCAUUGAGCCAUGAUCACGUCACUGUACUCUAGCCUGGGCAACAGAGUGAGACCCUGUCUCUA
rnacentral:sRNA from 1 species